GAUUGAAAUAUACAGGGAAACCCAGACUAACCAGGACAUAUAACAGGGAAAACCUAGACAACCAGGACAUAUAUACAGGUAAAACCCUAGACUAACCAGGAAUAUAUACAGGGAAAACCUCUAGACUAACCAGGACAUAUAUACAGGGAAAACCUCUAGACAAACCAGGACAUAUAUACAGGGAAAACCUCUAGACUAACCAGGACAUAUAUACAGAAAUAUACAGGGAAAACCGCUGGACUAACCAGGACUAUAUACAGAAUAUACAGGGAAAACCGGGACUAACCAGGACAUAUAUACAGAAAUAUACAGGGAAAACCGCUGGACUAACAGGACAUAUAUACAGAAAUAUACAGGGAAAACCGCUGGACUAACCAGGACUAUAUAACAGAAAUACAGGGAUAACCUAGACUAACCAGGACAAAUACAAAUAUACAGGAAAACCGCUGGACUAACCAGGACUAUAUACAGAAAUAUACAGGAAAACUCUAUACUAACCAGGACAUACAUACAGGGAAAACCUCUACAACUAACCAGGACAUAUAUACAGGGAAAACCCCUAGACUAACCAGGACAUAUACAGGGAAAACCCCUAGACUAACCAGGACAUAUAUACAGGGAAAACCUCUGGACUAACCAGGACAUAUAUCAGGGAAAACCCCUAGACUAACCGGACAUAUAGUUCCAGUCAACAGUUUGGACACUACUCAUUCAAGGGUUUUUCUUUGUUUUUUACUAUUUUCUACAUUGUCGAAUAGUGAAGACAUCAAAACUAUGAACACAUAUGGAAUCAUGUAGUAAAUAUAUUAUAUUUGAGAUUCUUCAAAGUAACCACCCUUUGCCUUGAUGACAGCUAGAAUGCUUUUCCAACCGCCUUGAAGGAGUUCCCAACAUAUGCUGAGCACUUGCCGUCGUUUUUCCUUCACUCUGCGGUCCAAUCAUCCUAAAACCAUCUCAUUUGGGUUGAGGUUGGGUGAUUGUGGAGGCCAGGUCAUCUGAUGCUCUCCAUCACAAAUAGCCCUGACACACAGCCUGGAGGUGUGUGGGUCAUUGUCCUGUUGAAAAACAAAUGGUAGUCCGA
rnacentral:lncRNA from 1 species